rnacentral:rRNA from 1 species
AGCUCCAAUAGCGUAUAUUAAAGUUGUUGCGGUAAAAAAGCUCGUAGUUGGAUUUCUGUUGAGAAUGACCGGUCCAUACCAUGUAUGCGCAUCUGGUUCAGUCUCGGCAUCCUCUCGAAAAACGUUUCUGCGCUUGAUUGCGUGGAACGGAGUUCGGGACUUUUACUUUGAGGAAAUUAGAGUGUUCACGGCAGGCUAUCGCCCGAAUACGUUAGCAUGGAAUAAUGAUAUAGGAUCUCGAUUCUAUUUUGUUGGUUUCUAGAAUUG